rnacentral:rRNA from 1 species
UACGUAGGUGGCAAGCGUUGUCCGGAUUUAUUGGGUUUAAAGGGUGCGUAGGCGGUAGCCUAAGUCAGCAGUGAAAUACGGCAGCUUAACUGUCGAGGUGCUGUUGAUACUGGGUUACUUGAGUACUGAUGAGGUAGGCGGAAUGGACGGUGUAGCGGUGAAAUGCUUAGAGAUCGUCCAGAACACCGAUAGCGAAGGCAGCUUACUAAGGAGUAACUGACGCUGAGGCACGAAAGUGUGGGGAUCAAACAGG